GUUGCCUAACGACCUUCCGCGCGGACGGUGGGCAGGCGACGGCGGCGUGUGGAUGGAGGCCUUCGCCCUUGGCCCAGCGCGGCGGGGCAGGCGGCGGACCCGGGCCGCCGGCUCCCUGCUCUCUCGGGCCGCCAUCCUCCUCUUUAUCUCCGCCUUCCUGGUGCGGGUGCCCUCAUCAGUUGGACACUUGGUUCGAUUACCAAGAGCUUUUCGCUUGACCAAAGAUUCAGUGAAAAUAGUGGGAUCAACAAGUUUUCCAGUGAAAGCGUAUGUCAUGCUCCAUCAAAAGAGUCCACACGUGUUAUGUGUAACGCAACAACUGCGAAAUGCUGAACUGAUAGACCCAUCAUUCCAAUGGUAUGGGCCUAAAGGAAAAGUUGUUUCAGUAGAAAACCGCACUGCACAAAUAACAUCCACAGGAAGCCUUGUAUUCCAAAAUUUUGAGGAGAGUAUGAGUGGAAUUUAUACAUGUUUCCUCGAAUAUAAACCUACUGUGGAAGAAAUUGUUAAACGUCUUCAACUAAAAUAUGCUAUAUAUGCUUAUCGUGAGCCUCAUUAUUAUUAUCAGUUCACAGCUCGAUAUCAUGCAGCUCCCUGCAAUAGCAUUUAUAAUAUUUCUUUUGAGAAGAAACUUCUUCAGAUUUUAAGCAAACUGCUUCUUGACCUUUCAUGUGAAAUUUCCUUACUUAAGUCUGAAUGCCAUCGCGUUAAAAUGCAAAGAGCUGGUUUGCAAAAUGAAUUGUUCUUUGCAUUUUCAGUUUCAUCUCUAGACACUGAAAAAGGACCCAAGCGAUGUACAGACCAUAACUGUGAACCUUACAAAAGACUUUUUAAGGCUAAAAAUCUCAUAGAGAGAUUUUUUAAUCAACAAGUAGAAAUUCUUGGCAGACGUGCAGAACAAUUACCUCAAAUAUACUAUAUUGAAGGUACUCUCCAAAUGGUUUGGAUUAAUCGCUGCUUUCCAGGAUAUGGAAUGAAUGUCCAGCAACAUCCAAAAUGUCCUGAGUGCUGUGUAGUUGGGACUUCCACUAUGAUGUUGAAAGGAAAUGAAGAAAGGAGACAGCCUUAUUUUGUUCCUAAUCCUGGUGGGAAAGCUUCAAGUUUCUCAACAGACCUCCUGCAGAGCCCCUGUCCAUCUCCUUGUGCCUAAGCUACCACUCCUUCCAUAGUUCCAGGAAUACUUGGCUUAUAAGGAUGCCACAGGAAGACAGGAGGCCUCUUACACUGGAUGUGAAGCUAUGUCAUGGCACUGGCCAGUUUUGUUCAUCUUGGACUCACCAAUGGAACUGGCAGAUGGCAGAUGUCAAAAAUGUCCCACAGGGCUGGAGCCCUGCAUGUAGUUCUGGGAGCAGCAACAGUGGACAGCUGUUAAGAGACCAGAUCACAGAAGUGCAGGUAAAGACCUAUGUUUGUUGUUGUUAUUGUUUUAGUCCAUCAAAUUUCUUUCCAUAUUUACCACAGAGGAAGUGGCGACAUGCAGGUUGGAGCAACAGUCUUGGGGGCGACUCUUUGCACCAAAUGGAGUGAUGGAAAGGUAUUGGAAAUGGGGUGGAUUCAUAUCUUAGUAAGUCUGGUUGGCUCUAUUGACUUGCUUAGAUCCUUGGGAUAGUUAUCUCUAAAGAAGCAAUGUGAUAUCAUCCAAAAAAAGCAAUGUUUAUUUUUGAAGCUGCCUGAAAUACUUUUUGGAAAGCAGGACAACAUGGAUAACUUCCAUGGACUGGAGCCGUCUUUUAUCAUGACUGUACCAAGGAAGCAUUUAGAACAAAAUAUCCACAGGGGCAGGUGUCAAAGACUCAUUAGUGAAAACUCUCCAGUGAUGAAUAUGUAAGAUGAGAAACGUGUGGGUGUGCACACGCACUCACACUAACUCACUCGCUCUUCCUUCCUGCAUUGCUGUUUGUUUGCCACUCCCACAUCACAAGGUUCUAUAUCUGUGGCCAUAGAGACAGGGGAAACUUACCCUGUCAUUCUGAUGUCUGUUUUGUACUGGGAAGUGCUCUUGGGUUUAAUUUUGUUACAAUGUCAAGGUCUUUUAUUAGGAAUUAUAAUUUGCUUCUGAAGUAUCACCGAAGGUUGGUAUUUUAAAGUUAGGAAUUUCUGUAUUUGAAGACUGACUUUGGGUAGGAAGUCCUCUUGGCCACAAAUAUUCUGUAUUGUGUUAGCAUCUGACCAAUUUCACACAGACAACUUGCCUGCCUCUCUCUCUCAGAUAUAUUCCUUCACCAUUCUACAUUUCAGUGUUUUUUACAGUUGAACUAGUAAAUGUCAAGGGUUUGCUAUCUCACUAAUAUAUUGAUAGUAAUAAUCACAAGCAUUGUUGUUGAAAUUAUAGAUUGUGUGUGAAAAUCUAAGUUUCUAUAGAAACCAUAGAUGCUUAACAGAUGGAUAGAGUCCUAGAGAUUGUAUAUUUAAAUCAUCUAUCACCUUUUUUUUUUCCUUCGACUUUUAAGUUCCAGGGUACAUGUGCAGUGUAUGCAGGUUUGUUACAUAGGUAAACGUGUGCCAUGGUGGUUUGCUGCUCCAAUCAACCCAUCACCUAGGUAUUAAACCCAGGCUCCAUUAGCUCUUCUUCCUGAUGCUCUCCCUUCCCCCACCCCCACUGACAGGCCCCGUGUGUGUUGUUCCCGCCCAUGUGUUCAUGUGUUCUCAUCGUUCAGCUCCCAUUUAUAAGUGAGAACAUUCGGAAAUAACUUCCUUUUGAAAAAGGAAAAGUGAAGCCCAAAAAUGAGGACGAAAGUGAAUUGCCGGCCGGGUGCGGUGGCUGCUGCCUGUAAUUCCAGCACUUUGGGAGGCCAAGGUGGGCAGAUCACCUGGGGUCAGGAGUUCAAGACUAGCCUGGCCAACAUGGUGAAACUAAAAAUACAAAAAUUUAGUUGGACGUAGUGGCGGGCACCUGUAAUCUCAGCUACUCAGGAAGCUGAGACAGGAGAAUCGCUUGAACCCAGGAGGCAGAGGUUGCAGUGAACUGAGAUCGUGCCAUUGCACUCCAGCCUGGGCAAGAAGAGCCAAACUCCGUCUCAAAAAAAAUAAAAAUAAAAAUAAAAAAGUGACUUGCCCAAGGUAAUGUGGCUGCUACGUGUCAGAUCCAUUGACCCUAAACCAGAGUCUGAAUCAAAGACCAGGGCUCUCACAAUCUUCCAUGCUGCAUUACCUUUCUAGGGCUUCUGUUUGCUACAAUUUUAUGGCCCAUUAAUAAGCAGAAAUUUAUAUUCAGCAAUGGAUAUACAAUUAAUUGAGUAACAUAGUAUAAAUAUUGCCCAGGGAAGUAUUUAUAGGACAAUAUUUUAGAAGCUUUCAUAUCUAUAGUUAUCUAACUCUGCCAGGGCAAAGCCGAUCGUUCUGACAGACCUGGCUUGGCUUACCUAGAACUGUGAAAAUGGAAAGUUUAGUAACUUAAUGACAUUUCCAAAUGUAAAUACUGCAGUGUUUUAAAUUGCUUUAAAGGUUGAGAGGAUAGAAUCGACGCCCUUCAGGGACUCAGCCAGUCAUCAUAAGGAUUGAUGUAGAGAUAUUCUCUACUAGCAUGCAUGACGUCCACUCUGAGUGUGCGAUUCCCGUCUGAGCAGACCUUUCCACGUUGCGGUCCAAACACACCUUAGGUGAAACAUCACACAUUCAUCCACCUGUUGCCAUCCUCUCCUGCAGCAAAACCUGCCCUCAGUCUCCUCCUGUGCUGCCAACCUUCAUGAAUCAUCACCCAGCCAAUUCCAUGGCCAAACCCAGAAAUCUUCAUUGACUUUUUCCCUUCCCUUACACAUAGGCCCCUGUAAUAGAAUGAGUCCUAACUGUCACCUUUUCUUCAUCUUUUAAAGCUCUGCUAUCUCUCCAUCUAUCAGGGAUUAUUACCAUUGGUCUUCUUUUUUCCAUUCAUCCUCUGCACAACUGACAGAUUGCGUUUUCUAAGAUGAACUGUCAUCACAUCAGUGCCCAGGUUAAGUCCUUGCACAAUGCCCUGUAGCGCUGGGGGCAACAUUUCAAAUCUUCGCUUCUCAUCCCAGUGCUUCUAUGACCUUGUCUCUAAUAGACCUCAGCUGUUGCUGCUCCCCAACCAACAUGCAGGACUCUAGCCCUCUGGGACAUUUUUGACAUCUUUACCUACGUUGUGGACAUUACAAACUGGAAACCUUUCUGUACAUACAAAACUAAAAUCAUUCAUUGAAUGAUUAGUUUUUUGUUUGGUGUUUGUUUUUUACUUGAGUAAAAUAGUCAAAUUAUCGUGAAUUAGUGCUUGUAAGCUGGACCUCUGCUGUCCAAACUCAUUAAUGGUAGACCCUUUCAUUUCUUGAAUAAGAAAUUGGCACAUAUAAACAAUCUCUGAAAACAUUUGCUUAAUACGUCCAUGGGCCUCACUGAGCUGUGUCUCCUCUUCGCUUGGGAGAUUUUUCACAUCUGAUGUUUCUGAGAGCUUUAUGUUCCUGGAGCCAUCAGGAAAGGGGCUCACCCAUGAGAAAAUGAAGUUUAAACCAGAAUUUGAAUUUGGAUUUUUAUGAGUAUGGCAGAAUAUUGGAAUUCCCAUAUUUUCCACUUCUUAUUGGUUACAGUAAGCAAGAAGUUCACAGAAAACUGCAUGUUCUCACUUGUAAGUGGGAGCUAAACAUUGGGUACUUAGAGACAUAAAGAUGGUACCAGUAGACACUGGGGACUGCUGGAGCAGGAGGGCAAUGCAGCGACUCGGGGAAAGGGAAGGGGAAAAACAAACUGUUGGGUACUAUGCUCAGAGUUCAUGAGCUCACUAUGAGAUCACUUGUACCCCAAACCUCAGCAUCACACAGUACACCCAGGUAUCAAACCUGCACAUGUAUUCUUCUGAAUCUAAAAAUAAAAGUUGGAAAAAAAACAGAAACGGGAGAUGAAUAAUAUUAUGAGAUAUCUUUUACUAUGCAGUGAAAGCAUGAGUAAACACACUUCUUUUCUACAGAAUCUGGCCACCUUCUAGAUGACAUGUAUUAAAGCUACAUGGCCAAAUUCAUACUAUGAAAUUUCCCUCUAUUUCAGCAUCUCCAGGGAAAUCACUAAUAUUGGACUUGCACAAAUUAUUGCAUUAUCUCCCAUAUUUAUUCCCAAUAACUUUAAAGACAAUUAUUCUGCAAGUAUACAGACAAUUCCUGAUAAGAACAUUCCUAAGUUCACUGACACAUGAUUAUAGGGUGAUUUCUGGAAGCAUCCUACAGGUAAGGGUGUGGAUUCACUGUUGUGUCACUGAGUUACACUGGAUGGUGAAACUCUCAACACAAGUUUCUUAAUCUCAUUUACUCUCCUGUAUUAUCUCUAAGGUUUUAGGUUCUCCCCUAUACUGACUUCAGUAAACUAUCAUACCUAAAGGCAUCCAAUUAAAAAUAAAAUAAAAUUAAAAUGUCAUGACGUUUUAGUAACUUUUAAGUAAGUUAAAGUAUACAGAUAAUAUAGUUUUAGGUUUCUUUUUAUUUCCUGAAUGAUAACAUCUCUCAUGAGCUAUGGCACUGCAAUAGCCAUUUACUAGUUCAUGCAUAUCCACUAAGAUUUAACAUGUAUUUAUCAAGUAUUUAUAUAACACUAAUGACAUCACUUAAAAGAGUUGAAUUGGCCAGGCGCGGUGGCUCACACAUCUAAUCCCAGCAUUUUGGGAGGUUGAGGAGGGUGGAUCACCUGAGGUCAGGAGUUCAAGACCAGCCUGGGCAACAUGGUGAAACCUCGUUUCUACUAAAAAUACAAAAAGUUAGCUGGGCGUGGUGGCGAGCACCUGUAAUCCCAGCUACUCAGGAGGCUGAGACAGGAGAAUCGCUUGAACCCAGGAGGUGGAGGAUGCAGUGAGCUGAGAUCACGCCAUUGCACUGCAGUCUGGGCAAUAAGAGCAAAACUCCAUCUUAAAAAAAAAAAGAGUUGAAUUUACAACAUUCUCCUCCUAGGAGUUAUUUUCUAUCAAGCAUAAUAUAAACAAUUGCUUUGGUCAUGAUUUCCCACAAAAAUGGUACUCCAUGAAAAAUGUCUGCAAAAAUUAUUACACAUUAUAAGAAAUGUGUGGACAAGGGCAUCAAGUAGGAUGAAUGAUUAGAAGAAAUGCAAACCAUGCUAAGUACAUUUCUACUGCAGGGCCUCCCUGAGUGUGUCCCACAGAACCUCUGUCCUCCCGGAAGGUCUGAGGGAAAAAGCUCCACGUCCAAAGCAUUUUAGGAAAUCUGCUAUAUCUGGCGAUUUGUUAUAUGCACUAUAACAGUUAAGCUCUGAGUCAUGAAACUUCCAAAAGAAAGACUUGCUCAGUACUGUUUAAGUGAAAAUUUUAUAUCCAUACUUAAAACACUGAAUCCCUACCUUAAAUUCCACCAAUUCAUUUAAUUCCUCCACUAUGAAAUUGUUUCUUUUUGCUUGCCUACAGUACUUUGAGCUGACUGUUCUGUUUACUGCUUUUUCCUGAUUCUCUUACUUUAAAAAAAAAAAAAAAAGUAAUGUGUAAACAUCUUAGGCUGUUUCAGCAAAUACUAGCUCUCAAAACAUGGCCACAAGCCUAAGUGGAAUUCAUCUCUGCAAACAGGGAAUAGUCAGGCCUCUUUCUUGCUUUGGUUACUUGAGUCUGGAGCACAAAGGCCACUUGCUCUGGAAUCCCUCCUGGGCCAGAACAGACAGCUUCGCUUGUAUGCAUUAUGUCUCAUAAUUCAGACAGAAAAAAAUUCCAGUCCACAUUCCUCUGGAAUCCAAAUAAGACCAAAUAUUUCAAUUUUCUGUCCUUGCAGUGGCAUCCAAUCUUGAAAAAGGUAUUCCUUCUAGCUCUUCUCCUGACACCAUCUGAGUCUGUUCUUUGCAUCCCAUCAAGUCACUCAUGUUAACCCACUAUAGUGUUGACCAGCUUUCACCAAGAGGCAGAAAACUUGAGACAGGGCAACAGCUCUGACUCGGGGGUCAGAGAAAGGAUGGAGAGGGACAAACUAUGAGUGGCUUGACUCACUGCGAACCUGAAAUACGGGGAAACUAACUAGAGAUUUUGGAGAGUUUUCUUGAAUGCCGGAUCCACAAAAAUGAACAAUAAAAGAGUGAAUAAUCGGCUUUUUAUGCAAACAGCUUUUGAAGCUGCACUGAAGCAAUUUUCUUAGUAAUAUGGGAA